CUGGAGUGGAUUCAUUUCUUCUAUACAUGUCAGGAGUAUCGUUGAUAUGCUCUUUAACCCUUAGCGUCUAGGUUGAAAUGUACACUUGAGAUGCCGGCUGUGAGUUUGUUCUUUCAGUGCCCGUCCGCUAUGUCGUCAAUUUGUGCCUUAGGACAGGCCUCUUAGUGACGAUUUAUUAGUGCUCCAAUGGUCGCCAAUCGACCCGUCAAGUUCUCUUUCGCUGCAGGUGAGGAGAUUUGCUUUAUUCUGCCUCUUUUUAGCCCUA
rnacentral:lncRNA from 1 species